rnacentral:rRNA from 1 species
CCGCGCCCGUCCCGCCGCCACCGCCCGCAUACGGGAGGCAGCAGUGGGGAAUAUUGGACAAUGGGCGGAAGCCUGAUCCAGCCAUGCCGCGUGUGUGAAGAAGGCCUUUUGGUUGUAAAGCACUUUAAGCGAGGAGGAGGCUACUUAGAUUAAUACUCUAGGAUAGUGGACGUUACUCGCAGAAUAAGCUCCGUGCAUAACUAUGUGCCAGGCAGCCGCGGUAAUACAGAGGGUGCGAGCGUUAAUCGGAUUUACUGGGCGUAAAGCGUGCGUAGGCGGCUUUUUAAGUCUGGAUGUGAAAUCCCCGAGCUUAACUUGGGAAUUGCAUUAGAUACUGGAAAGCUAGAGUAUGGGAGAAAA